UAGGGGAAAAGUCCUGAUCCGG
rnacentral:miRNA from 1 species